UACGGGGGGGGCAAGCGUUGGUCGGAAUUACUGGGCGUAAAGGGCUCGUAGGUGGCCAACUAAGUCAGACGUGAAAUCCCUCGGCUUAACCGGGGAACUGCGUCUGAUACUGGAUGGCUUGAGUUCGGGAGAGGGAUGCGGAAUUCCAGGUGUAGCGGUGAAAUGCGUAGAUAUCUGGAGGAACACCGGUGGCGAAGGCGGCAUCCUGGACCGACACUGACGCUGAGGAGCGAAAGCGUGGGGAGCGAACAGG
rnacentral:rRNA from 1 species